rnacentral:tRNA from 2 species
CGCUAGGGUGGCAGAGCCCGGCAAAUGCAGGAAACCUAAGCCUUCCGUCUCAGAGGUUCAAAUCCUCUCCCCAGCU